rnacentral:rRNA from 1 species
CCUACGGGCGGCUGCAGUGGGGAAUAUUGGACAAUGGGGGGAACCCUGAUCCAGCCAUGCCGCGUGUGUGAAGAAGGCCCUCGGGUUGUAAAGCACUUUCAGUGAGGAAGAACGCCUGGUGGUUAAUACCCAUCAGGAAAGACAUCACUCACAGAAGAAGCACCGGCUAACUCCGUGCCAGCAGCCGCGGUAAUACGGAGGGUGCGAGCGUUAAUCGGAAUUACUGGGCGUAAAGCGCGCGUAGGUGGCUUGAUAAGCCGGUUGUGAAAGCCCCGGGCUCAACCUGGGAACGGCAUCCGGAACUGUCAAGCUAGAGUGCAGGAGAGGAAGGUAGAAUUCCCGGUGUAGCGGUGAAAUGCGUAGAGAUCGGGAGGAAUACCAGUGGCGAAGGCGGCCUUCUGGACUGACACUGACACUGAGGUGCGAAAGCGUGGGUAGCAAACAGGACUAGAUACCCGUGUAGUC